CCUCCUUAAAAAAUAAUCGCUUAGGAUAGGCGUUCACACGAAUAACUUGCUUUUACCUAAAUCAUUUCUUUACAGAUUUGAGAUUAAGGAGCGUUCUUUAACAUUUUUAUAAGUUCAAUCAAGUCACAUCAUAGUGUCUUUGUUUUUUAAUUUAGAUAUGAAUGAUGUGCAAAUGUCACCAAACCCGUCAUGUUUUAGAACAUAAGUUUGGUGUACAUACUGCAAAGUAAUUUUGGCGAAUGACAAUAGAUACUUGAAGAACAUUAAUCAUUAAGUUGUUUGAUGUAAUAUGGUCAAGUAAUUAAGCGCAUACGGUGGAUGCCA
rnacentral:misc_RNA from 1 species